rnacentral:rRNA from 1 species
UACGGAGGGGGCUAGCGUUGUUCGGAAUUACUGGGCGUAAAGCGCACGUAGGCGGCUUGGUAUGUCGGGUGUGAAAUCCCCGGGCUCAACCUGGGAACUGCAUCCGAAACUGCCUUGCUAGAGUAUGGGAGAGGGAAGUGGAAUUCCUAGUGUAGAGGUGAAAUUCGUAGAUAUUAGGAAGAACACCAGUGGCGAAGGCGGCUCACUGGACCGGUAUUGACGCUGAGGUGCGAAAGCGUGGGGAGCAAACAGG